rnacentral:tRNA from 1 species
GAGGGUAUAGCUCAAGUGGUAGAGCACAUGCUUAGCAUGCAUGAGGUCCUGGGUUCAAUCCCUGGUACCUCCU